GAUGAACGCUAGCGGGAGGCCUAAUACAUGCAAGUCGAACGGGUGAAUUAGCUUCGGUUGGUUCACUAGUGGCGCACGGGUGAGUAACGCGUACGCAAUCUGCCCUAUGCUGGGGAAUAGCCCUGGGAAACUGGGAGUAAUACGCCAUAGAUCUGUGGAUUCGCAUGGAUUUACAGAUAAAGCUGCGGCGGCAUAGGAUGGGCGUGCGUCUGAUUAGGUAGUUGGUGAGGUAACGGCUCACCAAGCCGACGAUCAGUAAGGGGCGUGAGAGCGUGGCCCCUNACACGGGUACUGAGACACGGACCCGACUCCUACGGGAGGCAGCAGUAAGGAAUAUGGACAAUGGCGCAAGCCUGAUCCAGCCAUCCCGCGUGCUUGAUGAAGGCCCUCUGGGUU
rnacentral:rRNA from 1 species